GGUGGAGCGAUCUGUCUGGUUAAUUCCGAUAACGAACGAGACUCUCCCCUGCUAACUAGUCGGUUGGAUCUUGAUUCGCGAGUAAUGCGCCCCGGCGGUGUCUUCUCACGGCUGUGCGUGGAGGUUGAGGGCGCGCGCCUGUGCUUACGUGCGGGUGUGUGUCUCUUUUCUCUCCCGCAUGCCUGAGAGCCCUCGGGUAGUGCACACUCCAAGUCCGCCGCUUAUGCUGUAAGUCUUCUUAGAGGGAUCCACGGCUCUGAAGCCGUCAGAGACUGAGAGCAAUAACAGGUCUGUGAUGCCCUUAGAUGCUCUGGGCCGCACGCGCGCUACAAUGCCGGACACAGCAGGUGUUUUUCCUUCUCCGAGAGGAGCGGGCAACCCUCUGAAAGUCCUUCUGUCUCAUGGUGUCACGUUCGUCCUUCGGGGCGGCGUGCAAGGCGUGCUUGGGCCUGGAGCUUGCAAUUUUUCUCCACAAACGAGGAAUGCCUAGUAGCGGUGGGUCACUGAGCCCACCGUGACUCAGUCCCUGCCCUUUGUACACACCGCCCGUCGCUACUACCGAUUGGGUGUACCAGUGAGAGCCUUGGACUGGCGGCCGCUGCCCUUCGGGCAAGCGGAUUCGACUGAAAGAGGUCCGAACUGGUGCACUUAGAGGAAGUAAAAGUCGUAACAAGGUUUCCGUAGGUGAACCUGCGGAAGGAUCAUU
rnacentral:rRNA from 1 species